rnacentral:rRNA from 1 species
UACGUAGGUGGCAAGCGUUGUCCGGAAUUAUUGGGCGUAAAGAGCUCGUAGGCGGUUUGUCGCGUCGGCCGUGAAAACUUGGGGCUUAACCCCAAGCCUGCGGUCGAUACGGGCAGACUUGAGUUCGGCAGGGGAGACUGGAAUUCCUGGUGUAGCGGUGAAAUGCGCAGAUAUCAGGAGGAACACCAAUAGCGAAGGCAGCUCGCCGGGACGUUACUGACACUGAGGCGCGAAAGCGUGGGGAGCGAACAGG